CGGCGCGCACCGCCCCUUCCGCCGCCGCCCAGCGAGCCCAGCCCCGGUCCCAGCCCCGGCCGUCCCGGCGUCGCUUCGGAGCGCGGCGGCAGCUGACUGCGCCUUCACGAUUCGCUGGGACCCGCGAGCCCCGCCGCCGUUAUGAACAUCCGCAAUGCGAGGCCAGAGGACCUAAUGAACAUGCAGCACUGCAACCUUCUCUGCCUGCCCGAGAACUACCAGAUGAAAUACUACUUCUACCAUGGCCUUUCCUGGCCCCAGCUCUCUUACAUUGCUGAGGACGAGAAUGGGAAGAUUGUGGGGUAUGUCCUGGCCAAAAUGGAAGAGGACCCAGAUGAUGUGCCCCAUGGACAUAUCACCUCAUUGGCUGUGAAGCGUUCCCACCGGCGCCUCGGUCUGGCUCAGAAACUGAUGGACCAGGCCUCUCGAGCCAUGAUAGAGAACUUCAAUGCCAAAUAUGUCUCCCUGCAUGUCAGGAAGAGUAACCGGGCCGCCCUGCACCUCUAUUCCAACACCCUCAACUUUCAGUCGGGGGUGGGCCGGCUGUGGGGAGGAGGCUGUGGACCCCAGCGCUGCCAGGAUACCUCCGCAUUCACUCGGCGGCUGAUGGUUGAAAAGCCGGCAUGGAGACAGCACCUGCCUGCUGAAACGUGCUCCGUGUGUGUUGUGAUGGAGGAGCUCUGGCCCAUGCUGGCUGAGGCUGGUGAAGGGCACAUGGGCUGUUUAGUAAUGUUUGGGAAUAGAGAGGUGUGGGUCCCUGGCGUGAGCAGAUGCUGAGGAGCAGGACUCAAGCAUGACCAAGCACCUAGAAUAAUCCAAGAGAGAGCAGAAUCAAGGAGAAUGCACAUUCAGGAAGGCAGGGCCAGUGGCCAGGCAGCCUAGUGGAUGGGGCAGGUCUGCCUGAGGACCAGGAGGCCCCAUGUGCCUGGCACACUAGAGAGAACCUGGCAGUUGGCAUGCCCAGUAGACAGUGGAAAAAAGUGCUUGCAAGUGAAGCUGGGGUGGGCUGCCUGUGGAGGGACAUGAACCGCACUCAGCCCCUGUUUGGAUGAAGAAGAGGGACUGUUGGGAAGGGCGGUGGCCUCUGGGCUGGAUGCUGGCAAGAGGGAUCUGUGACCCAGAUGACGAUGUCUGGUGGGAAUUGCUUUAUAGCUAAGUCAACAAUCCUCAUGUCUUAGGCCUGGCAGGGCCAGCCUAGGCCAUUGAGUCCAGCUCCCCUUCCAGGGACAUGGCCACCCGAGUCUGCACACACACAUCCCCAGUGCAGACACGGCCCCAGAGCUGCUCAGGCAGAGCCCGUGCUGCCUAGGGAUGACUCCCCUAAACAGGGCUCACCGUCCUUCCUGGGUUCUGAUGGCUGUUGUGAGGCAGCUCAGUAAGGGACAGGUCGCAGGGCAGGGAGGGAAGGGGAAGGCUGAAUUCAGGGCUUCAGCUCCCAAGAAGCCACAGAAAUGGAUCCUUAGUAGCCAGGCUAAGGACACAGAACGGGGGCAGGACAGGGGUGGGGCAGGCCGCCGUUUCCUGGAGCCUUUGCUGGAGAGAACAGAGGGCAGGUCACACUGGACUUGCUGUCUCAGGAUGGAGCCUUCAGGGAGAAAACAUGGCACCUUGCUCCAGUAGCCACGAUACCAGGAGUGGAGGAGGGUGUCCCCGGGGUACGGGUCUUCCUCCUUGCUCUCUGCCUUCUGCCCCCAGGAUCAGUGAAGUGGAGCCCAAAUACUACGCAGAUGGGGAGGACGCCUAUGCCAUGAAGCGGGACCUCACUCAGAUGGCUGACGAGCUGAGGCGGCACCUGGAGCUGAAGGAGAAGGGCAGGCACGUGGUGCUGGGUGCCAUCGAGAACAAGGUGGAGAGCAAAGGCAGUUCACCUCCGAGCUCAGGAGAGGCCUGUCGCGAGGAGAAGGGCCUGGCUGCCGAGGAUAGUGGUGGGGACAGCAAGGACCUCAGCGAGGUCAGCGAGACCACAGAGAGCACAGAUGUCAAGGACAGCUCAGAGGCCUCCGACUCAGCCUCCUAGAGCCUGCCCCAUCCCCUUCUCACCCCACGAGCUUUCACAAUAAAUUCGCUCCGUGGCACUGGGGAACUUCGUGUGUGUGCGCGCGCACAUUUAGAGGGUGUGUUUCUCCAGGUCCUCUGGUGGGGUGUGAGCCUCGGCCUUUUGACCCAGAGCAUCCUGCCAGGCUUGAGUACAAGGGAAGAGCUUUGGAGGUGGGACUCCCUAGUCUCAUGACCUUCAGCAGCUGUGGCCGCGGGGAAGGAGGCCCUGGACUUAUGGGAGAGACCCUGCCUUGGAGGUCUGCUUGGCCACGCUGAAUGUGUUUUGUGGCACAAGCCUGGGCCGCUCAGGCUCAAAGCUCAACAGCAGGGCUCCCACUCUUGGUGGCCUUCAGCCCUCUUCCCACCUUCACCUUCAGACCUUCUCUCCCUAAUCACACCUGCUUGGGGCUACAGCAGCUCCGCGGCAUACCCGUGGGCUCCAGAUGUGGACAUCCAACUGCUCAUUGGGCUUAUCUACAGCUGUCCUGUCUUGAGUAAGGACUCAGCCAGAUGCCCCAUCAACGGUCCUUGAGUCCUCCCUCCCCUGCCACCCUAACGGUCAAUGAGUCCGUGAUACCUCUUGAGUCUGCUCCCUAACCUGAGUUUGCAUUUGGAAAUAAUUUAUUUUUAGUACAAUUCCCCGCGUUUCCCCUAUUGACAUUUUGUAUUAGUUGAUGUAUUUGUUAUUGUUGAUGCGCCAAUACUGAUAAGUUAUUGCAAACUAUA